CCUACGGGUGGCAGCAGUGAGGAAUAUUGGUCAAUGGGCGGGAGCCUGAACCAGCCAAGCCGCGUGAGGGAAGAAGGUACAGCGUAUCGUAAACCUCUUUUGUCAGGGAACAAAGGCGGGGACUAGUCCCCGGAUGAGGGUACCUGAAGAAAAAGCAUCGGCUAACUCCGUGCCAGCAGCCGCGGUAAUAGGGAGGAUGCGAGCGUUAUCCGGAUUUAUUGGGUUUAAGGGGUGCGUAGGCGGACUGUUAAGUCAGCGGUAAAAGCCCGGGGCUAAACCCCGGCGGGCCGUUGAAACUGGCUGUCUUGAGAUGUCGAGAGGUAUGCGGAAUGCGCGGUGUAGCGGUGAAAUGCUUAGAUAUUGCGCAGAACUCCGAUUGCGAAGGCAGCAUACCGGCGGCGAUCUGACGCUGAGGCACGAAAGCGUGGGUAUCGAACAGGAUUAGAUACCCGUGUAGUC
rnacentral:rRNA from 1 species